rnacentral:misc_RNA from 1 species
UUUCCGUAGGUGAACCUGCGGAAGGAUCAUUAUUGUAUAACCGAGGUGCGAGGGCUGUCGCUGACCCGAAAGGUCGUGCACGCCCGUGUGCCCUCACACACAUCCAUCUCACCCCUAAGUGCACCACCGCGUGGGUCCCCCUUUGGCUUGUUCGGCGGGGGGCUUACGUUUUCACACAAACUUUGUAUGCAGUGUAGAAUGUAUUUUUUGUUUUUGCGAUCACGCAAUCAAUACAACUUUCAACAACGGAUCUCUUGGCUCUC